UGAGAGAUGGAGAGGAGUUGACUACUACCACUUCAACUAACACUCUGGGAUGGAGAGAUGGAGAGGAGUUGACUACUACCACUUCAACUAACACUCUGGGAUGGAGAGAUGGAGAGGAGUUGACUACUACCACUUCAACUAACACUCUGGGAUGUAGAGAUGGAGAGGAGUUGACUACUACCACUUCAACUAACACUCUGAGAUGUAGAGAUGAUGGGAUGGAGAGACAGAGGGAGGGGAGGGAGGGGGAGUCUGGUAGAUGGUAAUUGAGUGUUUGAGGGUUGGAUGCUGAGAAGGACUAUGACAGUCACCUGGUGCGCCUGCCUGCCUGCUAUCUAGUUAGUGUAAUAUGUGUGGCAGCAUGUCCAUGUUGAUCGUGGAGAUAAAUCACAAAUACAAACGUUUCCAUCAUGUCCUCUGAAAGAGACUUUCCAGAAAUAUGUUGUGCUGUCCAAUCUCACACACACACACACACUAUACACACACACACACACACACACACACACACACACACACACUAUACACACACUACACACACUAUACACACACACUCCCAUAUUUGUUUUUCUUUCCACAAGUCUCUUAUAAAACCUCAGGAACAAUGAUGUAUUUUAGAGUACUAUGCUCUGACACACACUACACACACACACACACACCAUGCCCAGUAAGGGCAUUCGUUUUCCCACACAGAGCUCUUGAGUUUCACUGUUGAAAGGUCAACAAACCUUACCACCAACACCAAUGCUAUGGUAUUUCAACAGAAACCCCCUGGAACUCUGACCACAGCUAGCUACACAUGGGAUUCUGGGUAGUGAUAUAGUGGCAAAACAAAUAGGUGGGUAGAAGCCGAUCACAGAGCGAUUUAAAGUAACGCUCCCUGUAUUUUCUGUUCUCCUCAAAAGGUAGGGAGAAAAUCCCGCAAAAUCAAAAAAGAUGGUGUGUAACCUGGGAAACCUCUCUCAUGGUUACCAUAGUGACAGGCUAGCUGAGCCCAGUACAGAGCUGGAGAAAACUAGCACCUCCAGUUAACACAUGGUCUCCACGUCUAACCCCCGACACACACACCCUCCCUGACCUGUCCACUCUCUCCCCGAGGACUGUUUACAUUCUGACUGGAGCAGAACACUGAUUCCUCUGAUUCACUAGAGGCUUUCUAUCUAAAUCACCAGGGUUACAACAGAACGCUGAUUCACUAGAGGCUUUAUAUCUAAAUCACCAGGGUUACAACAGAAUGCUGAUUCACUAGAGGCUUUAUAUCUAAAUCACCAGGGUUACAACAGAACACUGAUUCACUAGAGGCUUUCUAUCUAAAUCACCAGGGUUACCACAGAACACUGAUUCACGAGAGGCUUUAUAUCUAAAUCACCAGGGUUACAACAGAACACUGAUUCACUAGAGGCUUUAUAUCUAAAUCACCAGGGUUACAACAGAACACUGAUUCACUAGAGGCUUUCUAUCUAAAUCACCAGGGUUACAACAGAACACUGAUUCACUAGAGGCUUUAUAUCUAAAUCACCAGGGUUACAACAGAACACUGAUUCACUAGAGGCUUUCUAUCUAAAUCACCAGGGUUACCACAGAACACUGAUUCACUAGAGGCUUUCUAUCUAAAUCACCAGGGUUACAACAGAACACUGAUUCACUAGAGGCUUUCUAUCUAAAUCACCAGGGUUACAACAGAACACUGAUUCACUAGAGGCUUUAUAUCUAAACCACCAGGGUUACAACAGAACACUGAUUCACUAGAGGCUUUAUAUCUAAAUCACCAGGGUUACAACAGAACACUGAUUCACUAGAGGCUUUAUAUCUAAAUCACCAGGGUUACAACAGAACACUGAUUCACUAGAGGCUUUAUAUCUAAAUCACCAGGGUUACAACAGAACACUGAUUCCUCUGAUUCACUAGAGGCUUUAUAUCUAAAUCACCAGGGUUACAACAGAACACUGAUUCACUAGAGGCUUUCUAUCUAAAUCACCAGGGUUACAACAGAACACUGAUUCACUAGAGGCUUUAUAUCUAAAUCACCAGGGUUACAACAGAACACUGAUUCACUAGAGGC
ensembl:lncRNA